GACGAACGCUGGCGGCGUGCUUAACACAUGCAAGUCGAACGGACAGACCCUGCUUUUGUUGGUUUCUCGUUUGCCGCGCGGGUGUGUAACACGUGAGUAUCCUCCCCUUAUCUUUCUGAUAACUUCUGGAAACUCCGGCUCAUACCGGAUAUGAGCUCCUGCUGCAUAUUGUUGGUUGGAAAGUUUCGGCUGUUGUGGAUCGACUCGCUGCUUAUCCGCUUGUUGGUGUGGUAGUGGCUUACCAAGGCUUUGACGGGUAGCCUGCCUGAGAGGGUGAACGGCGACAAGGGGACUGAGAGACGGCGCAGACUGGUACGGGAGGCAGUAGGGGGGAAUAUGGCAGAACGGGCGGAAGUGAGAGGCAGAAACGUCGGGUGCGGGAUGACGGCCUACGGGUGAUAAACAGAUGUCGCAGGUGACGAAGAGUGAGUGACGGUAAUGGGUAAAGAAGCAACGGCUAACUACGUG
rnacentral:rRNA from 1 species